CGGUACCUCCAAUAGAUGGCAAAGCUGAAAAUUGGGAAAGACAACUUGGAAAAUAAAGAAGUCAUCACUUCAACACAGAAAACAGGAAUUUCUAUUUACUGCCCGGCAUGGGAGUCAUCCUCUGUCAGCAAUGCCACAGACAAAGGGCCUGAUCCUGGACUGUGGCAGCCAAAGGAGGGUCUCUCCAGAGCAGGAAAGGGCUCUGGCUGACAUUCCAUGCAAGAUGCAGCCAUUCCCCUCCCUGACUGGGGGAACCACAGCUGGCAGAUGCAGGAUCUCCUCCUGCACACCUCACCUUGGACAACAGCAGCUCCUGCACCGUGGUGUUCCCCAGGUCCAGAGGGGUGGUGAGCCUCAGGGACAGAAACAGGUGCUGGCAGCGAGGCAGCGGCUUCCACCCGGCACGAACACUCCCAGGGACUGCUGCAGUGCCCAGCAAACAUCAACUGCACGGCUGGACCCAGAACAGCCACAAAAAGUGGGCAGGACAGGCCACCAAGGCCACC